UUUUUGUGAGUUUGACAAAGUCCGCAUCAAUCUCCCGCCCGUCUUCAAAAUUCUCAAAACUCCCACGAAUCAGAAACAACUCAACCUCUCUGCUCUUCGUUUCACUCUCGGGAUACCUGGGUUGGACGAGUCCUAUUUACCCCGAUGGAUUGGGUACGGGUUCGGCUCCCUUCUGAUUCUGAACCAUUUCGAGGGUUCGGAUUCUGCUACCACUCCGGCGCAGCUUGUGAGCAACCCCUUUUUAUGAGAUCGCUUCUGAUUCGAUUCUUGUUGCGCUUCUGCUACUACCACUCCAGCGCAGCUUGUGAGCAACCCCUUUUUAAGCUAUCGGCCUUUCUUUGGCUGCAUUCUCCAUUUUAGUAGCCUAUAUUGGACAAUUUCAUAAGGUUUGAGAGACAUAUUGAAUUAUGUGCACGUGGCUACUGGGACAUACCUGAGGAGGUAUCAAAAUCGAACUUGAUUGGUUUGAGAGACAAAUUGAAAGGAUUGGUUACAAAAUCUGAAGGAUAACCUUUAUUUUCCUCAGAGAUCAGAUUCUGUGCUUUGGGAGCUGUUACCCAAGGGGACUCGUUCUUUUCUUCUACAACCAGCACUACAAGUUCCAGGUGCCACUCAGAUGGAAAGCAUUGGAGGGUUUGCCAUGUUGGCUUCAAGCAUGAGCUAUGCAUAUUCUGAUACAUAUAAAGCCUGGUAAGAGCUCUUGCAAACAAAUUUGGAGGUAAGCGCUUGGGAAAGGUUUUGUAAGGAAUUUAGAACUCAUUUUCAAUGUGUAAAUCAGUUCGCAAGUUCUAUUGAAAAGUUUGCUUUCUCAUUACUAUUUGGUUAAAGCAGAUCUUGUAAAGUCUUGAUCAUUCCUCUAGUCCCAGGAAUUUAGAGCAAUCAAAUGGAACACGGCCAUGCAACAUAAAUUUCCAGAAAUGUCUGCUUGGUCAUGUACGAAAUAAAUUGGUCUUCAUCUUGUUGCAUUCCGACUGAAGAUCGCAAAUCUUUUAAAUUCUUUCAAUAAAAGUUCACUGAAUCACAUUUCUUUGAAAAGCGAAAUACAAGGUAUUUUUCCCCUC